UCCCAUUUUCCCUUUCUCUUUCACGUUCAUCCCAAGGGAUUUAUGGUAAGACCUCAAUUUUGUCUUCAAAUUUCGCGCAAAUUUUCAUUUCAACUUAAGUUUUGAUUAAUUAUUCGAAGAAUUUUCUCUCGCAGAUGCUAAAUCUCUGAUGCAUCAACGUAUAGUAAUUUCCAGUCACCGGGUACUGAAAAUUACUUCAGUUUUUUCACCAAAUAUCAGUUCUUUAUUUAUCCCACAUUUGAAUAUUUGUAACCCUAGAAAUAAUGUCUUCACUGUAUUUAGUUCAUAUAUGUACACUUCCACACACACUAAUAG
rnacentral:lncRNA from 1 species